AAACUCCUACGGGAGGCAGCAGUGAGGAAUAUUGGUCAAUGGACGAGAGUCUGAACCAGCCAAGUAGCGUGAAGGAUGACUGCCCUAUGGGUUGUAAACUUCUUUUAUAUGGGAAUAAAAUGUUCCACGUGUGGGAUUUUGUAUGUACCAUAUGAAUAAGGAUCGGCUAACUCCGUGCCAGCAGCCGCGGUAAUACGGAGGAUCCGAGCGUUAUCCGGAUUUAUUGGGUUUAAAGGGAGCGUAGGUGGAUUGUUAAGUCAGUUGUGAAAGUUUGCGGCUCAACCGUAAAAUUGCAGUUGAAACUGGCAGUCUUGAGUACAGUAGAGGUGGGCGGAAUUCGUGGUGUAGCGGUGAAAUGCUUAGAUAUCACGAAGAACUCCGAUUGCGAAGGCAGCUCACUGGACUGCAACUGACACUGAGGCU
rnacentral:rRNA from 1 species